rnacentral:misc_RNA from 1 species
AGCUUAUUCACAUCUAGUAUUCUAGAUGACAUGAAGAACAAGCCUUUCUUGCUCAAAACACAUAAGAAAAUUGUUUGAACCUACAGUACGUAAAUGAGAUCUCAAGCAUAUAGAGACCCUGAAAUGACUAGCAUCCUUUUCAAUUAAUUACUUUUCAAUGAAAUAUUCACAAAGUGUUGUAGGACAACUUGCAAGCUUGGUUAUUUACACUAGAAAAAUGGGUAAACCAGAAUUUGAAGCCAACAAAUAAAAAUAGCUAGACAGAAAAAUAGCAGAAGGAAAGCAGAAGUAGAACAUAUUGGAGAAUUCCAUCACCAAUUUCUUCAAACUUCCUGAUCACAACCCAGACACAAAAAUAGAACAGAAAAGUAAGAGAGAGAGAAGAAAAAGAAGAGGAAGAAGAAAUUAGAACUGAAAUUUUGCAUGCAACAAUUCCAAAACCACUGCUUGGUUGCAGAGGUACUAGCUGAAAAAUAGAACUGAAAUUGGGCACAAACAAAAGCAUACAUAGAGCUAACCUGAAGGGAAGCCAACUCUCCAAUUGCCUCCGUUGGAAUCAAUCGACAUUCAUGAAUUGAGAAAGGGAAGAUAAGAGAAGGCCGAGACGUAGAAGAAGAGAACGUUUGAGCGGAGUUAAAUAUCCAGUUCUCAAAU